ACGACUCUCGGCAACGGAUAUCUCGGCUCUCGCAUCGAUGAAGAACGUAGCAAGAUGCGAUACUUGGUGUGAAUUGCAGAAUCCCGUGAACCAUCGAGUCUUUGAACGAAGUUGCGCCCGAAGUCUUUCGGCGGAGGGCACGUCUGCCUGGGUGUCGAA
rnacentral:rRNA from 1 species